ensembl:lncRNA
AGCACAUUAAGGUGUUCUAUUACAAACCCGUCAAAAUAAAACACUGAUUUCCUCACUUCUUGGUUGAUAUGAAAUUUACCCCAAAAUUAAACUGAAUGUGACAGUGAAACUUGGAGUAAUUACACCACAUAGAGAUAUUUGUACUUGCAAAUAUCAGCAAAUACUGGGCAGUAGUUAUAACGCUGCGUGCACUUCUUAGCUAUUGAAUGGUUUUUCUCCUUCAUUUGUCUAAAGGGCACUAACACACACUUUUGUUGCACACGCGUUUCUUUUUUUUGUUUUGUUUUUUUCUUGUUACAUAACCAAAAAAAAUUACUCCCAUGUGUGAGAGGCUGACAGUCACAGUGCUGGUUUGCUUUAGGAUGGCUCAGUGAAGAAUGACAGCCUGGGACGCUGCUGGUGGUGUUUUGGUGGUGAUAACUCUAUGGCUGCUCUCCUUUCCUACUGUGGGUCAGUCUCCGUUCCCUGUCAGUGGAUCUCAGGACGUCUACCAGGCAGAGGAGCACAGUAACAUCACACUAACAUGGCUGUUCUCUGUCACUGCUGACAUGUCUGACUCCCUGUACAUAGACAUUAUAUUUGUGGAACCUUUCAGAACGGUUUUCCAUUAUGAAUUUAAAACCGCGCUGUAUCUAGAUGAGUUCUACAGAGGACGAGUGCAGUGCGAUCCAGAGCUCGCCAGGAAAGGACGGAUUGACGUGGUCUUUACUAAUGUGACACUAGACGACACAGGGACGUAUCAGUGUUUUGUCUCUGUUGACAGAUACAGUAACUACACAACAUGUGGCCUCAAUGUUACAGCAGUCAGUCGUCAGCCUCCACAGGAAAACUCAUCACCAGCAGGCCGAGAGAGGAUCUUCUGUUACGUUGUAGUUGGAGUGUUAUUCAUAACUCUCGUUACCAUUUGGUAUUUGAGCAAGAGGAAGGGAGAUGGUGCUGUUGUUCAUGCUGCUGCUUCAGGGUAGACACCUGACUUCAUAAGAAUAUGCUACUCAUAUUUAUUUGUUGUUCUUUCACGUUUUAAGUGGCACAGUUCUAAUAAUUAAUUCAGUUCCUCUGGUUUGAGCUUAACUCCCCAAACUGAGUUCAUAGUACUCAUGCAAUUUAAAAAAACUGCAGUUCGAAGUGACCACCACCCUCAGCAAUAUAAUAGGCUGAACUGAGUGGCACACUGCAUUGUUGAAAGUCAAACUCCUCAGUAAGAUGGAGAACUCAUUUAACCAGAAUUGCUGAAUUUCUGAUAUUACUGCCGUUUUCAUUAAUAUGUUUAUUGUUAUACGUUGAAGUGUUUUUACAUACGCACAUAAAGUCAGUGACCACUUUAUUAUAUACACCCAUGUACACCUAGGGGCAACAUGUAGCUCAGUUGGUAGGGCGAUCAUCUAUAAACCCCAGUGUCAGUGGUUUGACUCCCGGUUUCUCCUGACUACAUAUCAAAGUGUCCUUGGACAAGACACUGAAACCCCACAAUAGUGCCGUCAUCUACUGCAGCUGUCCAAACAAUAAUUUCCCCAAGGGGAUCAAUAAUAUCAUUGUUACCUGAAUUCAUUGUGCCACAGACAACACUAAACCCUUGUUGCUGGAAGCAAUUUGAGGUGAGGUGCUAGUGUUAUGUCAUUCUGGCAUCAGUGAAGAUUAACUGUGGUUGUAAAGACAUGCACAUGGUCUCAGGUAUGUUGCAGGUGCUAGAGGAAUAACCAAAUUAUUAACCCCUUAUCUGCAUUUUAAAGCAGUAAUUAAGAUUCGACUUUUCUGGUCACCUGCUGUCCAUUUUCAUCUCAGUUUUCCAGUGUGGUCUACGGUUUGUUUCUGCUCGCUCGUCUCUGACCUCUUGAACAAAAGUUGCUCUCUGAAUGUUUUGUGGCUUCGGCAUCAUCUACUGGAAAGUGUAGACACUGUUUUGAGUGAGCAGCAGUUUGUGAAAAACACAAAUCAACCCGACAGACAUCAACGCCCACAUUAGAGUCUGGUUCACUUUCUAUAUCACAGUAGUAGAUGUUAAUAUUACCAGCCAGUUGUACAAGUGUACCUAAUAAAGUGGUCAGACUAACGCGGUGAAACUUGAUGCUAAUAAAGACAAGCUAUAUGUUGUGUUUUUUCUAACUUUCUAUUAUUAAGUUUUGUCACACUAAAAUAAACUGUUUUGAAGAAUUAGAGGUGUCUUUUUUUAAGGAGCAUUGUAGGGACUGUAGGUGUGGAAACAAAAUCACCAAGAAACAAACCAGAGAUGCAUGAAAAGUAGUAAUGAAUAAAUCAAUUCAAGUUGAAAAUCAUGCUUGGAUUUCUCUUGGAAAUGUAGUAAAGCACAUCAUACAAUUAAAACCAUUUACUGCAUAUCUUAGGUGUGUUAUGAUAUUAGUAUGGGGACAAAAACAUCUUGUGAUUCUUUAAUAACAAUGAUAAUGCAAGUGUAAAUAUGUGAGUGAAUGAAUGAACCCUGUAAUUAAGGUGUAUUUGAUGUAGCAGGUGAUGUCAACUAUGACCAGCAGAGGUCGUAGUCUCGCUGUCAAUCAGGUAAGAUUAACAUUUCUAUGGUCUUCAGAAAUACUGGAAAACUGUAACUGAGUACACACAUAUCAGCAGUAUCAGUGUAUAUAUUUUGUGUUUGGAUUUAGGAUUGUAGGUGCAUGGGAAUAAGUAAAGCUGUUAAAAAAACGUAACAGAGUAACAGUAACAUGAAAUUGAAG